rnacentral:rRNA from 1 species
AUGAAGCCAUCGCCAUGUACAUUGCACCUUACUGCAUCCAAUCGUAGAAGAUCAAAUAACCCAGCAGCAGCAGUGUUCCCCACAAAAUGGCCAAUGCUAGGCAUGCUCCCUUCUCUCUUGGCCAACAUGUACAACUUCCAUGAGUACAGUUAUUUGGUCCUCGCCGGAUCAGGCCUCAACUUCAAUGAGGACGGCGCGCCUGGGGCCGGGAUGCGGUUCUUCAUCACCUGCAACCCUGCCAACAUCCAGCACAUCUUCACGACCAACUACCACAACUUCCCCAAGGGCGCGGAAUUCGCUGCCAUCUUCGACAUCAUGGCAGGUGGCCUCUUCACUAUCGACGGCGAGCUAUGGCAUCGGCGCCGCGUGAAAUUUGUGGGUGUGAUCAGCAGCCCGUGGUUUACUGACCGUGUGGCAGCUCAUUGCCGUGACAAGGUGAAGGACUACCUCCUCCCAUUGCUUGCCCGCAUGGCGAGUACCGCCACUUCAUUCGACAUGCAAGAAUUAAUGGUGAGGUUAAUGUUUGACAUGACCGCCACAGCAGUCUUUGGCCUGGACCCUGGCUUUCUGUCCUUGGACAUGCCUCCCAUUGAUGCCUCCAUUGCCAUGGACAUGGUCAUGGAGGUGGGAUUUCUACGGCACACCAUACCAGCCUCUUUGUGGAAGGCAAUGAGGUGGCUAAAUAUUGGUCCUGAGAGAAAGCUCCACGAAGCGAAGAAAGUGCUGCACAGGCUUGUUGUGCAUACAAUUGAGAGGAGGAAGACCACUAGAGAAAAUGCUGGUCACGAUGAGGAUGAGGAGGUUGGGGGUGAUAUUUUAGCUUCCUACAUCAAUGACCCGGACUUCUCCAAAGAUGACUCGCUCCGUGCGACACUCAUUAACUUCAUGAUCGCUGGGAGGGACACAAUUGCCACGACCCUGCCAUGGAUACUUUAUAACCUCGCCCAGAACCCUAACAUCGUGUCAAUCAUCCGUAAUGAACUCUCACCAAUUGCAUCGCACAAAGUAGCCCACGGUAUGGGUGCAAUGGUCUUUGAGCCGGAGGAGACCAAAUCUCUGGUGUAUCUGAGAGCCACCUUGUACGAGACUCUCAGGCUAUACCCACCAGCGCAUAUGGAGCGCAAGACAGUGGUUACCGAUGAUAUCAUGCCAAGUGGCCAUGAGGUGCACGCCGGUGAUGCCAUCUUUAUCUCUCUUUACUCCAUGGGAAGAAUGGAGAGCUUGUGGGGUAAAGACUGCCUCGACUUUAACCCAAACAGAUGGCUCUUGGAGGGUAGCAACUAG